UUUUUUUAAUCUUGUCCGGCGUCUCCGGAAUCAGUGGUUUGUUGCUGUCUGUGUUUCUGAAUAUUGUUUGUUUGUGGCUCAGGGAGAGACGUCCUACAUCAGAGUGAUGGAGGAGCGGGGCACAAGCUGGGGUCGCUCGCGCUCCCGCUCCAGGUCUCGAGGACGAUACUCACCCCUGCUCCAGAGCAGAGGGUCACCGCCGCCCCGUUACCGAUCGCCCCCACGUCACAUGACCCGCCAUAGCCCACCCUCCCGCCGAGCGCCGCUCCAGCAUCACAGCCCGCCCCCGCGCCACUAUCGAUGAGCGGCCUUCUCCACCGCCACACCCCUUUUCUUUCUCUAUUUUGUAAUUUAUAGUCCAUUGUAGGAACCCAAAUGGCCUUAUUCACCGUUCAGUUCAUGGAGAGCUUGCGAAUAUGUUAAUGAUCACGUGGAUGAUGCUGCAUAUGUUUACAGAUGUGGUUAUGAUUGUGAAAGAUCUGAAGAUGAAUUAUCUGUUUUGUCCCAA